rnacentral:rRNA from 1 species
GAGUUUGAUCCUGGCUCAGAAUCAACGCUGGCGGCGUGCCUCAGACAUGCAAGUCGAACGCGAAAGACCCCUUCGGGGGUUGAGUAGAGUGGCGCACGGGUGAGUAACACGUGAGUAAUUUACCUUCUCGGUGGGGAAUAACAACCGGAAACGGUUGCUAAUACCGCAUAAUGCAGCGGCAUCUUCGGAUGACAGUUGUUAAAGCGGGGGAUCGGAGCAAUCCGACCUCGUGCCGGAAGAGAAGCUCGCGGCAGAUUAGGUAGUUGGUAGGGUAACGGCCUACCAAGCCUGCGAUCUGUAGCCGGCCUGAGAGGGCGGUCGGCCACACUGACACUGAACAUACGGGUCAGACUCCUACGGGAGGCAGCAGUCGGGAAUUUUGGGCAAUGGGCGCAAGCCUGACCCAGCAACGCCGCGUGAAGGACGAAGUUUUUCGGAAUGUAAACUUCACAAGACGGGGAAGAAUAAGUUAAGGCGAAUAACCUUAACGAUGACGGUACCCGUAGUAAGCUCCGGCUAACUCCGUGCCAGCAGCCGCGGUAAUACGGGGGGAGCAAGCGUUGUUCGGAUUUACUGGGCGUAAAGGGCGCGUAGGCGGUCGCUCAAGUCACUUGUGAAAUCUCCGGGCUCAACCCGGAGCGGCCAAGUGAUACUGGGCGACUAGAGUGCGGAAGGGGCAACCGGAAUUCUCGGUGUAGCGGUGAGAUGCGUAGAU